rnacentral:rRNA from 1 species
UAGGGAAUCUUCCACAAUGGACGCAAGUCUGAUGGAGCAACGCCGCGUGAGUGAAGAAGGUUUUCGGAUCGUAAAGCUCUGUUGUUGGUGAAGAAGGAUAGAGGCAGUAACUGGUCUUUAUUUGACGGUAAUCAACCAGAAAGUCACGGCUAACUACGUGCCAGCAGCCGCGGUAAUACGUAGGUGGCAAGCGUUGUCCGGAUUUAUUGGGCGUAAAGCGAGCGCAGGCGGAAUGAUAAGUCUGAUGUGAAAGCCCACGGCUCAACCGUGGAACUGCAUCGGAAACUGUCAUUCUUGAGUGCAGAAGAGGAGAGUGGAACUCCAUGUGUAGCGGUGGAAUGCGUAGAUAUAUGGAAGAACACCAGUGGCGAAGGCGGCUCUCUGGUCUGCAACUGACGCUGAGGCUCGAAAGCAUGGGUAGCGAACAGGAUUAGAUACCCUGGUAGUCCAUGCCGUAAACGAUGAGCGCUAGGUGUUGGGGACUUUCCGGUUCUCAGUGCCGCAGCGAACGCAUUAAGCGCUCCGCCUGGGGAGUACGACCGC